rnacentral:tRNA from 1 species
GGGGCUGUGGCGCAGUUGGUAGCGCGUCUCGUUCGCAUCGAGAAGGUCAGGGUUCAAAUCCCCUCAGCUCCACCA